AUUGAACGCUGGCGGCAUGCCUUACACAUGCAAGUCGAGCGGCAGCGCGGGGGCGAACCCUCGGCGGCGAGCGGCGAACGGGUGAGUAAUGCAUCGGAACGUGUCCUCUUGUGGGGGAGUAACCAGUCGAAAGACUGGCUAAUACCGCAUGAGAUCGAGAGAUGAAAGCGGGGGACCGCAAGGCCUCGCGCGAGAGGAGCGGCCGAUGUCGGAUUAGCAGUUUGGCGGGGUAAGUGGCCCACCAAGGCGACGAUCCGUAGCUGGUCUGAGAGGACGACCAGCCACACUGGGACUGAGACACGGCCCAGACUCCUACGGGAGGCAGCAGUGGGGAAUUUUGGACAAUGGGCGCAAGCCUGAUCCAGCCAUGCCGCGUGUGU
rnacentral:rRNA from 1 species